rnacentral:rRNA from 1 species
AACGUAGGGGACAAGCGUUAUCCGGAUUUACUGGGCGUAAAGCGCCCGUAGGCGGCCUGUCAAGUUGGACGUGAAAGCUCCUGGCUUAACUGGGAGAGGCCGUUCAAAACUGACAAGCUAGAGUCUGGAAGAGGAGCGUGGAAUUCCCGGUGUAGUGGUGGAAUGCGUAGAGAUCGGGAGGAACACCAGUGGCGAAAGCGACGCUCUGGUCCAAAACUGACGCUGAGGGGCGAAAGCGUGGGGAGCGAACGGG